rnacentral:rRNA from 1 species
GACGAACGCUGGCGGCGUGCUUAACACAUGCAAGUCGAACGCUAAAGGUUGGUACUUGUCCCGAGUGGGUGAGCAGCGAAAGUGAGAGUAACGCGUGUGGCAUCUGCCUUUGAGCGGGGGACCACAUGUGGAAACGAAUGCUAAUACCGCAUAAAAACUUUAAACACAGGUUUGAAGGUUAAAAUUUGCAAUUGCGUCACUCAACGAUGAUCCCGCGGUGUAUUAGUUAGUUGGUGAGGUAAAGGCGCACCUAGGCGAUGGUACAUCGCCAACCUGAGAGGGUGGUCGGCCACAGUGGGACGGAGACACGGCCCAAAGGCCUACGGGAGGCGGCAGUAGGGAAUCUUCGGCCAUGGGCGGGAAUCUGACCGAGCAACGCCGCGUGAGUGAAGAAGGUUUUCGGGUCGUAAAACUCUGUUUGUAGGGAAGAACGUGGGUGAGAGUGGAAAGCUCAGCAAGUGACGGUAACGACCCAGAAAGGGACGGCUAACUACGUG